rnacentral:rRNA from 1 species
UACAGAGGCCCCAAGCAUUAUCCGGAAUUACUGGGCGUAAAGGGUGCGUAGGUGGCGUGAUUAGUCCUUCUUUAAAUCUUCCAUGCUCAACGUGGAAGCUCGGAGGGAAACGGUCAUGCUCGAGGAUGUACGAGGUAUGUGGAACUCAUGGUGUAGGGGUGAAAUCCGUUGAUAUCAUGGGGAACACCGAAUGCGAAGGCAGCAUACUGGGACAUUCCUGACACUGAGGCACGAAAGCGUGGGUAGCGAAAAGG